rnacentral:rRNA from 1 species
ACGGGGGGUGCGAGCGUUGUCCGGAAUCACUGGGCGUAAAGGGCGCGUAGGUGGUCUGAUAAGGGUGUGGUGAAAGCCCGGGGCUCAACCCCGGGUCGGCCGUGCCGACUGUUGGACUAGAGUGCUGUAGGGGCAGGCGGAAUUCCAGGUGUAGCGGUGAAAUGCGUAGAUAUCUGGAGGAACACCGGUGGCGAAGGCGGCAUCCUGGACCGACACUGACGCUGAGGAGCGAAAGCCAGGGGAGCAAACGGGA